CCUACGGGAGGCAGCAGUGGGGGAUAUUGCACAAUGGGGGAAACCCUGAUGCAGCGACGCCGCGUGGGUGAAGAAGCGCCUCGGCGCGUAAAGCCCUGUCAGCAGGGAAGAAAAUGACGGUACCUGAAGAAGAAGCCCCGGCUAACUACGUGCCAGCAGCCGCGGUAAUACGUAGGGGGCAAGCGUUAUCCGGAUUUACUGGGUGUAAAGGGGGCGCAGACGGGGAUGCAAGCCAGGAGUGAAAGCCCGGGGCCCAACCCCGGGACUGCUCUUGGAACUGGGUGGCUAGAGUGCAGGAGGGGCAGGCGGAAUUCCUGGUGUAGGGGUGAAAUGCGUAGAUAUCAGGAGGAACACCGGUGGCGAAGGCGGCCUGCUGGACUGCAACUGACGUUGAGGCCCGAAAGCGUGGGGAGCAAACAGGAUUAGAUACCCCAGUAGUC
rnacentral:rRNA from 1 species